rnacentral:rRNA from 1 species
CUACGGGGUGCUCCAGUGGGGAAUAUUGCACAAUGGGCGCAAGCCUGAUGCAGCCAUGCCGCGUGUAUGAAGAAGGCCUUCGGGUUGUAAAGUACUUUCAGCGGGGGGGAAGGGAGUAAAGUUAAUACCUUUGCUCAUUGACGUUACCUGCAGAAGAAGCACCGGCUAACUCCGUGCCAGCAGCCGCGGUAAUACGGAGGGUGCAAGCGUUAAUCGGAAUUACUGGGCGUAAAGCGCACGCAGGCGGUUUGUUAAGUCAGAUGUGAAAUCCCCGGGCUCAACCUGGGAACUGCAUCUGAUACUGGCAAGCUUGAGUCUCGUAGAGGGGGGUAGAAUUCCAGGUGUAGCGGUGAAAUGCGUAGAGAUCUGGAGGAAUACCGGUGGCGAAGGCGGCCCCCUGGACGAAGACUGACGCUCAGGUGCGAAAGCGUGGGGAGCAAACAGGAUUAGAUACCCGAGUAGUC